rnacentral:misc_RNA from 1 species
AACCAUUCUCACCUGCGGCUAGACCUGCGGAAGGAUCAUUACACAAUACAAUAUGAAGGCUGUCCGCAGCUGGAGUAUUUUAUUACCCUUGUCUUUUGCGCACUUGUUGUUUCCUGGGCGGGUUCGCUCGCCACCAGGACCACCAAAUAAACCUUUUUUAUGCAGUUGCAAUCAGCGUCAGUACAAACAAUGUAAAUCAUUUACAACUUUCAACAAUGGAUCUCAGAUCGGAAGAGCACA